rnacentral:sRNA from 1 species
GCUGGGCGUGGUGGCGCGCACCUGUAAUCCCAGCUGCUUGGGAGGCUGAGGUGGGAUAAUUGCUUGAACCCAGGCGGCGGAGGCUGCAGUGAGCUGAGAUUGCACCACUGCACUCUAGCCUGGGCGACAGAGCAAGACUCCAUCUCCA